UCAAACUAAAUUACUUCUAUUAAAUAAAAAGAUAAGUACAAGGAAAAGAGAGUUCAAAAGGCAGCUCACAACCUAAAUACAAGUCCAACAACAAAUAAAAAAUACAGUAGAUAGGCCCCAAAGUGGCCAAUUGAACAACAACAAAAAAACCCUAAAACUGGAAUGGAAACCAACAGCAACCAGAUGCGGCUACCACCACCACCAAGAGAACAAACCAACGGAACAACGGAAAAUGGGGGUGAGCGAGCCACCAGCGCAGUGAGAGCUCCCAUAAUCAUACCAAAUAGUGAUAAAAGCACUUUAACAGCCACCCAACACCUAAGGAGAAGCACACGGGCCAAGAAGCAAAGGUCGGUGGUUGAGGACGCAUGACGAAAUGUAGCAACAGAGCAAGAGAGGGCCAAGAAAGUCCAGAUCUAAACCAACUCAUGGGAAUUAAGACAAAGUUCAAAGAAUAAAGCUAAGAAGGGGGAAGAGGGAAGAUGCAGAGGGUGGAGAUGGAAGGAAAAGAGGGAAGGAGGGCUAGAAAAAAGUGGGAAGGAUGAGCAAGGGAUGGGGGAAGAGGGAAGAUGCAGAGGGUGGAGAAGGAAGGGAAAGAGAGAAUGAUGGCUCGAAAAAGAUGGGAGUCAGGUUGCCACCGACCCCUAGCCAGAGCAAAGAGCGGCGGCUAUAUCUUCUUUCUUUUUUUCUUUUUUAUUUAAAAGGGUAGCUAGAGAGCUGGGAGAGGAAAAGAGAGACUGUCCAAACCUUUCUAUGUGUUCUUAAGUUUAAUCAUAAGUAUAUUAUGCAGAUUGUUGGGUGUUACUUUGGU
rnacentral:lncRNA from 1 species